rnacentral:tRNA from 1 species
GGGAAGGUAGCUCAGUGGUAGAGUGCUUGCCUUGCAAGCAUGAGGCUCUGGGUUCGAUUCCUCAGCACCA